AACGAACGCUGGCGGCGCGCCUAAUACAUGCAAGUCGAGCGAGAAGACGUAGCAAUACGUUUGUAAAGCGGCGAACGGGUGAGGAAUACAUGGGUAACCUACCCUCGAGUGGGGAAUAACUAGCCGAAAGGUUAGCUAAUACCGCGUACGCUCCUUGGACUUCGGUUCAGGGAGGAAAGCGAUACCGUGGGUAUCGCGCUCUUGGAUGGGCUCAUGUCCUAUCAGCUUGUUGGUGAGGAACGGCUCACCAAGGCUUCGACGGGUAGCUGGUCUGAGAGGACGGAUCAGCCACACUGGCACUGCGACACGGGCCAGACUCCUACGGGAGGCAGCAGUAAGGAAUAUUGCGCAAUGGGCGAAAGCCUGACGCAGCGACGCCGCGUGGGGGA
rnacentral:rRNA from 1 species